AUGACUAGGGAUAACCUUAGGAAGAGACACAUCAUCAAACCCCUUGAUUGUGUUUACUGCUUGGAACAAGAGUCUUGUUCUCACCUAUUUUUUGAAUGUAUAGUUGCUAAACAUUUCUGGGCCCACAUUGAGGAAUAUUUCUCUAGUCAGAUUGGCUCAUCCUUCGAAUCUGUCGCCAGAUUCUGGAUUGCUACCAAAAAGUGCUCAGUUUUAAACACUGUUAGCUCAGCUGUCCUUUGGUGCCUCUGAAAAUAUAGAAAUGCUAUGAUUUUCAGUAACACCUCGUGGAUUUCCAUUCUGCAGGUCUUGAGGUUGAUCAGGAACAUGGUGAGGAACUCGGGAAUUCUCUCCUCCGGAUCGGACAAGGACAAGUUGAUGAGCUUCGUGGAAACCCUAACAAGAUCCCUCCAGAAACCGUUGGUGACCACUUGUGGUUGA
rnacentral:rRNA from 1 species